rnacentral:lncRNA from 1 species
AGAAAUAUACAUGAAGAAUAUUAGAUUAAUCAAAGAAUGAUCAAUUCGUAAAAAGAAGAAGAAAGCAGAGGAAGAAUUGUAGAGAAGAGGAUAAGAAUGAGUAUGGAAGUCUGAGUUGAUUCAUUCAGUUGGUUGGGUUUUUAUAUCAAACCCAACGGUAACUUCAACAGUAAAACAAGAAAUAAAACGCGGGUAAAAACACGUGUCCCCGUUUAAUACAUCGAGAGUUAAAACGUAAAUGGAAAUAGACGGAAGAUCAAAACUCGUCGUUUCAUUUAGUUGCUUCUCUUCCAUCCAUCCACGUUGACUAACGGUCUUUUUUGACUCCAUUUGUUCUUGCUGCAUUCAACAAAGAAGGAAAAUAAAAGAGUCUAUCCUGUUGUUAUUCAACUCUUCAAUCUCUAUUGCGAGAUGAGAGGGGGUAGAGCAUCUGGUAAGAGCGCAAUCUACCUAUUACGCGUCCCAUUUGGCCUCCAAAACCAGCAAAUUGGUUCUGAAAAAGUGUAAUCCCUGUCUAGGUGAGUGAUUAACAACUCGUACCACUCACUGCAAAGCACCAAAAUGCUCUACUUGUUGUGGCGACUCCACGAACUAGCACAAGUAGUUAACAACGACCUGCAGGACUAGAGUAGGCAUGGCACUGGGUUCGGGCAGUGACGGAUAGUCAUCUUCCGAUCCCCGCCCCUCACUAUCACUGGGUUUCCCUGGUCCCGACUCCGGAGGCAAAACGGGGAUGAUUUCAGUACCUUCCCUGUCCCCAUCCGCUUACCGGAUUUUCGGGUUUUACCCGAGACCCGGUGAUAAUCAUCAGUUUUGUCGAUUCCAUCAGUGCACCCAAUGACCCAAGACAAAAAUAGUUUUGUCGGAAGCUGAAGUCUCUUGUUUUGUCAAUUCCAUCAAUACCCACCGAUGCAGAUUGCAGAAUGCAGAGAGGUAGACUACCGAGGAAGGAAGAAGAAGGAAAGGUGUAAAGGGAGAUAAAAAAUAAUAAAAGCUUAAGAGUUGGCUACAGCC